rnacentral:rRNA from 1 species
UACGUAGGGCGCAAGCGUUGUCCGGAAUUAUUGGGCGUAAAGAGCUCGUAGGCGGUUUGUCGCGUCUGCUGUGAAAGCCCGGGGCUCAACCCCGGGUCUGCAGGUGCGGGCAGACUAGAGUGCAGUGGGGAGACUGGAAUUCCUGGUGUAGCGGUGAAAUGCGCAGAUAUCAGGAGGAACACCGAUGGCGAAGGCAGGUCUCUGGGCUGUUACUGACGCUGAGGAGCGAAAGCAUGGGGAGCGAACAGGAUUAGAUACCCGGAAUC